rnacentral:rRNA from 1 species
GACGAACGCUGGCGGCGUGCUUAACACACGCAAGUCGAACGGAAAGGCCCUGCUUUUGUGGGGUGCUCGAGUGGCGAACGGGUGAGUAACACGUGAGUAACCUGCCCUUGACUUUGGGAUAACUUCAGGAAACGGGGGCUAAUACCGGAUAGGAGCUCCUGCUGCAUGGUGGGGGUUGGAAAGUUUCGGCGGUUGGGGAUGGACUCGCGGCUUAUCAGCUUGUUGGUGGGGUAGUGGCUUACCAAGGCUUUGACGGGGAGCCGGCCUGAGAGGGUGACCGGCCACAUUGGGACUGAGAUACGGCCCAGACUCCUACGGGAGGCAGCAGUGGGGAAUAUUGCACAAUGGGCGGAAGCCUGAUGCAGCAACGCCGCGUGCGGGAUGACGGCCUUCGGGUUGUAAACCGCUUUCGCCUGUGACGAAGCGUGAGUGACGGUAAUGGGUAAAGAAGCACCGGCUAACUACGUG